GCAUCUGUGCAUGCAGCAUAUCAAUAAGCGGAGGAAAAGAAACUAACAAGGAUUCCCCUAGUAACGGCGAGUGAAGCGGGAAGAGCUCAAAUUUGAAAUCUUAAAGGGUUUCCCUUUACGAAUUGUAGUUUAAAGAAGUGUUUUCUGUUGAGGUUUUGGUAAAAGUUCUUUGGAAUAGGACAUCAUAGAGGGUGAGAAUCCCGUAUUUGACCUUUACUUUCAACUUUGUGAUACACUUUCAAAGAGUCGGAUUGUUUGGGAAUGCAGUCCAAAAUGGGUGGUAAAUUUCAUCUAAAGCUAAAUAUUGGCGAGAGACCGAUAGCGAACAAGUACCGUGAGGGAAAGAUGAAAAGAACUUUGAAAAGAGAGUUAAACAGUACGUGAAAUUGUCAAAAGGGAAGCGUUUGACACCAGUGUUGUUUUUCUGAAAAUCAAUUAAAGAACUGUUUAUGCUAAGUUGUUUAGACUUUAUCAGCUAUCUGUUUAGUUUUGAGCUUUUCUUUAAUGCACUUUUCAGUUAACAAGUCAACAUCAAUUUCUUUUGCUGUAAAGAAGCUUGAGGAAGGUGGCUUGAGAUUCGUCUUAAGUGUUUAUAGCCUCUUGCCUAUGCAGUCGGAGAGAUUGAGGUCUGCAGCGUAGAUCCUUCGGGGCUAAAUGCAUUUGUGCUAAGUUAUAGCAUUUUAUAGACAACUUGUUGACUAUGAUUUGUCUUGUAGCUUACUCGCUUAUGUUAUUUUACCUACGCUUAGGAUGUUGAGUCGUAGAGCACGCAG
rnacentral:rRNA from 1 species